UAAUUCAGCCAGCAUGGUUUACAUUGGAGAAGCAAUGCUGGGCUGAGUGGCAUCCUGGCUUACACUUGAAAGAGCCUUCACAUGAGUUGGGGUUUUCUUUCACAAGGAAUUCUGUUUCUCUCUGAAGCUUUGGUUGGGUGACUUGUGUGGGAUUCUCCCCAUCCCUGCUGAGACUGGCAUCCCAGGUGCGAAUUAAUGCUUGCCUAAACAGACAAGUUUUAAGCCGGCACCGAAAGGAAAACAAUGAAGGCACCUGCCUGAUGUCAAUAGGCAGGGAGUUCCAAAGCGUAGGUGCUGCCACCCUCAAGGAACCAUUUCUUACAAGGUGGAAUGAGUAUUAUCUGGCACUCGUAACAGUGCCUGUUCCUCAGAAGGAAGUGCUCGAGUGGACAUCUGUGAGGCUCCUUCCUGUCAGGUCACUGCCAAAAAAAAGUAAACAACCAAAAAAAAAAAGCUAGGAAAAGGCAAGCCUCCAGCUGACACAGAAAGGGCUUGCUUUCCCUGCUGCCUCGGAGGAUUUUCACAGCACCUCUGCUGACAGAUUGCUUUUUCUUUUUUGAAAUGUGUCGAUUACUUUAACGUGACUGGAAUACAUUAUAUUCAUUGGUCCCACCCUGGCCCUCGAGAUGCUUUUAAUUUGUAGGUUUAAGUUUAGAUUCCUUGAAGAGUGCCAACUUUUCUGUUUGGUUUCCUUGGGGCUACUUUGCACUUUGAGUUUCGGUAACCGGUAACAGUUGGGGGCAUUAAUUGUAGCUCCCGAGGUUAUCUUUCAAAGCUAACUUAUAUUUCUGUCGAGACUGGAGUUGGUCCUCAGAGGCUGUGCCUUUCUGCUGUGGUGCAGCUUUUUUGACUCCUGUAAUUACCCUUUGAAUUUAAGCUGAUUAUGUUGACUUUAGAGGCUGUGUGUUUCUUUAAUUUAUCCAUUGCUGGCUGUUUGCACAGCAGUUCUAUGAGUACAUACAAACCGAUUACGCACCUUGGAAAAGGUUUGCCCAGUGGCUGUUUUCCCCAACAGACAUUCAAGUAAACAAGAUGAGUUUCUUCAGAGCUAGCUGGUAUCUGCCGUCUUUUACAGCCACACAAAAUGUCACAUCAAACAGGCUUUAAAAAUAUUGCAAACCAGAAUUGCCUAAAAACUGGUUACUACUAGUCAUCUCUAGCCAUUGGGCAAACCACUUUUGAUGCCAUGGAAUGUUUAUGAAGUGCUGCACGGAGGAAGGCUCAGUGACUGGAAUGUUGGCAAACAGUCCAGCUUCUGUGUGUGAAGUGAAAAGUCAAUUUGGCAAGCAAAAGCCAUCACGUAGGGCCUAUGUGUGGUGCUGUGUCUGAAACUGGUCCUCUGAUUUCUCAAAGGUUUUAUUCCCCUGCAAAAGAAGCUUCUGUUUCUCUUCCUCAUUCUCAGAAUCUUGUAGAAUUUCUUCAUAAUUUCCAUGGGUG